UGUCUAUCCAAAACUGUUACUAGCAGUAGAUUUAUACGGGGUCUUGUAUAUUCUUUAUUAAUUAAAAAAGAGAGUUCUUUGUAAUAUUCUGAGUUUCUAACAGGGUAUCAGAGCCGUGGGCUCCUCAACCUUAGAUCUGAGGUUAGGUUGCCGGAUCUGAGCUCGUCUUCAGAUUCGUUCCGACUCUCUAUCAAACAGUUGCACCUUCUCUGAUAUUGUCUCUCUCUCUUUGUGCGCAAAAUAAGAUUCCUCAUUCGCUUUACCUGUUAUUAAUAUGGGCUUCACACUGCAUCCCAUCUUUUGAUCCCUUUACAACCCA
rnacentral:lncRNA from 1 species